rnacentral:lncRNA from 13 species
UGAACUUCUUGGCUCUCUAAACUGUUGUUUCACAUUAACUGUUCAUUGCCACUAUCUCUUCAAAUAUUUUAUUUUUCUUUUCUCUUUUCCUCCUCCUCAGAAUUUAGUAAUAGCAUAUUAAAAUUGGAUAUUUCCCACAGAUCUGGGAAACUUUAUUUUUUCUACUUUUUUUGUGUGUGUUUCAGUUUUGAUAAUUUCGAUUGACCUGUAUUCAAUUUCAUGAAUUCUUUUAUAGUGAAUGUUAUUAUAAUAACUUCAUGUUGCCUUGUCAUCCAUUUUGAAUGCAGGUUUAAUUUUCACUAGAAGAAGGGCUCAGUCACUCUUGACACAGUUUCUAAUUCUAUGCCACACCUAGGAUGCUCAGCCUGGUCACCAGAGGUAAGAACUUAAAAGACAUCUCCCGGACCUGGCAGACUGGGAUCCCAUCUUUCCCAAGAUUUCUUUAAGUGGACUAUUCAGGAAUUUGCCCAUAAACUUAAAGUGAUUCACACUCCAUUGCCAUAUAUAUAUAUAUAUAUAUAUGUAUCACUAAUUGCCCUGCACAUUUCUCUCUCUGUCUGUCUGACUCUUCAUUCUUGCCUCAUGUGACCUGGGGACAGAGGACUGAUUUUCUGGCUCAUGCCCUUCUUGUUCAGGAACUGCUGGAGUGCAAUGGCAAGAUCUUGGCUCAUCACAAACUCCGCCUACUGGGUUCAAGUGAUUCUCCUGCCUCAGCCUCCCAAGUAGCUGGGAUUAUAGGUGUGAGCCACUGCAUCCGUCCGAUUGUGCCUUUCUGAAGCAAUAUCUAUGUGUAAAAAUUUGGCAGCUCUCUAUGUCAGGCCUAAUGCCCUAGUGGGUCAAGGAUUUAUUCUAUAACUCAAAUUGUUAAAACCUGUUUUGGAGCUCUGGAGAUUUCUCUUUUACUGUUUUCCCAUACCCAGGAGCAGCUCUCAGUUGGUUCCUGACUAGGCAAACUGCUUUGAACCUUCUCUUUACUUACAGCUGGCACUUACUAUCUCUUCUCUGAUGAAUCCAAGCAUCCUUUCCUAGAAGAUCUGUACAGGAUGUGAGUAUCUACUUACUAUUCUAGCUCUUCUCCAUGUUGGAGGCAUGUACUACCUGUGUCUAGUCAGCCAUCUUGGUGUCUUCUCCAGUAGUUCACUGCUGUGGGAGGAACACCAAAGUAACAUGAAAAAAGGCUUAGAUAAAUAAAGGAGUAAAGGUUUGGGACA